AAUUUAGUCAUUUACUGUUUGCCCACGAGGCUCAAAAAUAUUACCAGAAAAAAAAAUACCCAUUUUAGAAAUACUAUUUAUAAAAGUAAUUUGGCGGGAUGCAUUUCUUAUUGUAUUGUCUUGUACCUUGAGGAAUUUGUUUUGGGUACCUAGAUGGGAUAGACAAUGAUAUCUAAUGACUUGGGAGGUGUAUUAUACCACCUUUUAUGUACAAUAUUGUUUUUUGGAUUUAACUUAUACUCAUAACUAAAUGCGG
rnacentral:misc_RNA from 1 species